GGUCCCGUAGCUCAGCUGUAUAGAGCGUCCGCCUCCUAAGCGGAAGGUCGCUGGUUAGAAUCCAGCCGGGACCGCCA
rnacentral:tRNA from 1 species